GACAGAGGGUGCAAACGUUGUUCGGAUUUACUGGGCGUAAAGCGCGUGUAGGCGGCUUUGCAAGUCGGAUGUGAAAGCCCCACGGCUCAACCGUGGAAGUGCAUCCGAAACUGCAUGGCUGGAGUCUCGGAGAGGAAGGUGGAAUGCUUGGUGUAGAGGUGAAAUUCGUAGAUAUCAAGCAGAACACCUGCGGCGAAGGCGGCCUUCUGGACGAUGACUGACGCUGAGACGCGAAAGCGUGGGGAGCAAACAGG
rnacentral:rRNA from 1 species